CGGCCUAGCGCCGCCCGCGGCCCGGAUCCAGGCGGCCGCCGGAGACCACCAAAACUAUUUUGUAUCAGCAGUUUUUUCUGAAUCCGCCGCAAGGCAAAACAAAUGAAUCAAAACUUUCAACAACGGAUCUCUUGGUUCUGGCAUCGAUGAAGAACGCAGCGAAAUGCGAUAAGUAAUGUGAAUUGCAGAAUUCAGUGAAUCAUCGAAUCUUUGAACGCACAUUGCGCCCGCCAGCAUUCUGGCGGGCAUGCCUGUUCGAGCGUCAUUUCAACCCUCGACUUCCCUUUGGGGAAAUCGGCGUUGGGGACUGGCAGCAUACCGCCGGCCCCGAAAUGGAGUGGCGGCCCGUCCGCGGCGACCUCUGCGUAGUAAUCCAACCUCGCACCGGAACCCCGACGUGGCCACGCCGUAAAACACCCCACUUUCUGAACGUUGACCUCGGAUCAGGUAGGAAUACCCGCUGAACUUAAGCAUAUCAAUA
rnacentral:rRNA from 1 species